CACUUCUUGUACAAGCACUGUGCUAAAACCACAGAAGUUGGGGUUACAAGCCUUGGCUUCUGUAGUAAUGCUAGCACGGUACACACAAGAAGAAGAACAAAUGCACUGGAUCAGUAAAAGACUUGGGUGGACCUCUUUCUUAAUGUCCAGUGUCCUAGUCUGGAGUUUUGGUGCAACACUA
ensembl:snoRNA small nucleolar RNA SNORA81